rnacentral:rRNA from 1 species
UGGCGGCAGGCCUAACACAUGCAAGUCGAGCGGUAACAUUUCUAGCUUGCUAGAAGAUGACGAGCGGCGGACGGGUGAGUAACGCGUAGAAAUCUACCUAGUAGUGGGGGAUAGCCCAGAGAAAUUUGGAUUAAUACCGCAUACGCCCUACGGGGGAAAGCGGGGGAUCUUCGGACCUCGUGCUACUAGAUGAGUCUGCGUCGGAUUAGCUUGUUGGUGAGGUAAUGGCUCACCAAGGCGACGAUCCGUAGCUGGUCUGAGAGGAUGACCAGCCACACUGGAACUGAGACACGGUCCAGACUCCUACGGGAGGCAGCAGUGGGGAAUAUUGCACAAUGGGCGCAAGCCUGAUGCAGCCAUGCCGCGUGUGUGAAGAAGGCCUUAGGGUUGUAAAGCACUUUCAGCAGUGAGGAAAGGGGUGUCGUUAAUAGCGCCAUCCUGUGACGUUAACUGCAGAAGAAGGACCGGCUAACUCCGUG